AAUACAGGUAGCACAGCUUUCAGCAUCACAGCAACAGGCAGACACCACAGUCUGACAACCAACAGACAGGUGGUGUCAUUCCCUGACCGGGAAAGGAACCUGGGCUCUGGCGAGAGUGCUGAACCUUAACCACUAGGCCACCAAGGCUGGCUCCCAGUCACUCAGACUCUGAUAGUAUGCCAGCAGGUCGGGCUCUGGUUAACUAGUUUCCCCUGAGGACAGAUCUGGUAAGGACAGGUGCUGUGGUGUAUUUCAAAAUGCUUCCUUUUCCUCUCCCCCUGCUGGAAGCUCCGGGAGGUAAAUCGCACAAUAUUGUGACCCCUCCAUGGCUGGGUCCCCCUGGAGUUUUCAACUUUCAGAGUUGUCCACACUGAGCCUCCAGUAAUUAGUCAACUGUAAAGAGUCAUUAAUAAGAGGAGGUGAAGUCAUCGGGCCAGGAGGAAGGGCAGGGCCUGGGAGCCAGGUGGGUGGGCAGCAAGUCGUGCUCUGCUGCUGUCCACGGGCAAGGCAGGCCGUCUACGCAGCCCAGCGGCUCGUCUGCGCCAUGGUGAUAACCACACAGGCUCUCCAGUGGCUGCGAGGGCGGGCGAGGGGGAGUCGUGCAAGGCUGCUGCUGAGCUCCGCCUGCCUAGGAUGGAAUCCAGGGUCUCGGGCUGGGGCUCUGGCUGGCAUGAGAGGAGACCAGCGCUCACCAACAUGUGCCACUGGCUAAGAUUUUGCACACUCACAUUCGUUAUGGAAGAAUGUACAAAAAUUAAAAUUUAUAACAACUAAGGGCAGGAGCCAGCAUUCCCUCAGAAGUUCAGAUUGCAUAAUGAUCUUAAGAAAACUCUCGGCAAAGAUGGGGGGAGGGGGUGGGAGAGAGGAGGGCAGAGGGAGGAAACUCGAAUCAGCGCUGGACGUGGAAGGAGAGCUAGGUGGUGAUUGCUGGGGCCCGUCAGUGGUGUUCUUAGAAUUUGUUCUGUUUGGACCUUCUGUCCAUUUCAGUUAUUAUUUGCUGCCUCCAUGCAUACACCAAGUUCUUAUCUUGGAGCUACUGAGCGCAUAAUUUGUAAAGGGCGUUCGGAGUGGACACAGGCCUGGGAGCGCAGACGUUUGGGUCAUCUGUGCAGUCAUGGAUUCAUGUCCCAGUCACUUGCUGAGCACCUCUCUGCGCCAGACCCCCAGUGGGGGCAGUUGGGGUCGUGGAGUCCCUUGGGAGGUCUGAACUCCUGGAAAGGGAUGGACUCAGGAAUCUGUCAGGGUUUCAAAAUGUCCCCAGGGCCACGGCAGGUGGUUUUCUAGUGUUCAGGGAGGGCCCAGGGAGGCGGGAGUGCAUCAACCCGGCCUUAACUGUCAAGCAGGUGGCUGCCAGGCCGACAGUGUGUGUGCAUGUGUGUGCGCGUGUGCGUGUGUGUGGUGGGGGGAGGGCACCCAGAGAGCCCAGGGGCCUGAAGCGGGCACUUGUGAGAGUGAAGCUGCAGAAUCAGGGCGGCCCGGGCAGCAGGAUGGCCCUGAGAGAGGGCUCCAGGGAACGGCCUGAGCUGGUGGGGAAGGCAGGGCAGAGGUCAGCAGCAGGCCCAGCGUGGGUCAGGCAUGACCACAGAAAAGGGAGAGACGAUGUGCGUCGGUGCGCUGAGGUUGGCCCACAGGCCGGCUGAAGAGCUGUGGGAUGGUGGGCAGGUUCUGAGCGUCCGCCGCACGCAGUGCUGCCGUGUGCAAAGUUAGAGCGGUGAUGUCCCAGGCCCAGCUCCCAAGGUGGGUGGGCGGCGGAACUCCCCGCCUGGCCCCAGGCAGCAGACCACAUGCACCCUAACGGCCCCCUCGGUUGGCCUCUGCUGGCUCUGGGGUUGGACAGCCUGUGCCCACAGCCUGGCUGUGUCCUCAGUCAGUGUGUCCUCAGACAAUGUCCCCAGGAGCCUCCAGUGUUUCAUUUGGAAACAGGUAAGAAAGUGCCUCUGAGAGCAAGCUGCAGAGAGGUGACCCAAGCAGGGCGGGACACGGCUCGGCACAUAGGUACUGACGUCAUCGUUGUUGUUACGUUAUCAAAAGCAAAAACAGCAGCUGUCUGCCAGGAGACUCAGGAGAUUACCAGCUGCCGCAGGCCAGGUUUACUUUGAUAACUUCUGUUAACAACAGCACAGAUACCGCUAUCAUCGCUGGGCACGGGCCAAGCCCUUCUUCUCUCCUUUAUCGAACGAUUCCUGUGAAGUAGCUGUUAUUACUCCCACUUACAGGCGAGAAAACCGAGGCUCUGAGGUAUUUUGUACCUCCUCGUAGCCAAUAAGUGUUGGAGACGAGAUCAAACUCGGCUCUGACUGCACAGCAGUGGCUCUGCGGUCCCUGCUCUGCCUCCAGCCGCUGGGGAGGGAGGACCCGUCAGGAACUCCUGGGGCAGGGGUCCUCAUGGGGGCCGGGGAACCUGACAGGAAACGGGCAAAGGGCAAAACAGGUGGUUCCCAGGAAAAGAAAUACAAUGUCGUACGGAGGUAGGAAACCCUGUGCAGCCUCACAGCCAAAAGUGACAAUGUGUUUCACUCAUCAGAUUGGCCAAGAUAAGAACUACACCGUGUGAGAGAGGAUGUGGGGAAACAGCCACUUUCAUUGGCUACUGGUGAAGUUAGAAAUUCAUGUGACUUUUUGGAGGACAAUUUUCAGUAUCUACUAACAUUUUAAGUGUACUCACUCUCUGCCCCCAGAAAUUAAAUUCUAGGGGGCAAUUUAUCCUAAAGGUAUGCAAAUAUACACAUGUAAAACCCUACUUACAAAGGUUGUCAUGGUGGCACUGUAUCUGGUUAAAAAAAAAAUCAAAUAAAGACUACACAACCUAAAUGUCCAUUUGUGGAGGAAUUGAUUAAAUAAAAUAACCAAUUCAUUCAUAUAUUAACACAGUUCAUGCUAUGCAGUCCCAAGAAGCAUGAGUCAGUCUAUACAUGGUGUUAAGGUAUAAUUAACUAUUAUUAACUCUUCGUUCAUUGUUCAGAUUCCUUUGCUUGGUUCUUGGCAUGUUGGGCCUGUUGUGCUGGCUCAAUCUCUGGAGGGUGUUUGGCUGGGGCCUCAGAAGGGCUUUGGUAUAUCUAUCUGCCACCCAAAGAGGCACACUGACUUGGCUUGCCAACUCCCGCCGCUGCUGAGGGUCCUCUUCCUGCUCACUGUAGUGGGCUCAUGUGCUCCCACUGCAGAUGCAGAAUCCCCCCGCCCCACACUCCUCUGUUUCCCAAGGCACACUGCAAGUCCCCAGAAAUAAGUGCCCACCCAUGGGCACCCUUGGAAAGGUCCAGCCGCUGACUGUGCCAAUGCCGCGUGACUCCUGACACCACUGAUAUCUGGAGGGGUUGAGCAAUGGCUGAGAUAAAAUUUCAUUGGCAUUUAAUGCAAUCCCUUCUGUUUCUGCUAGAGGUGGCGAAUUCUAUAGAAAGCUGCCAGACCUGGCCAGCUCACUGAGCGUUGACCCCUUCCAUCCAAGGGCAAGGCAAUGGAUGUCUGCAGAUGACUCAUUCGCAAUAACUGUGGCAUUCGGGCUACGGGACUUGGCUGAGCCCAGCUGGGUAGGGCAGGCCUGGCAGGGCGGGCGGGAGCAGCGAGUCCUCUCCAUUCUAACCUCUGGCUCAGAGGAGCAGUGAUGUAAACUGAGACAGGAUAUAGACACAUCCUGCCUGAGUUAGCAGCAAGGAAUAGGGCCCCACGGUUCUCCCACAGCAGAGAUCCUGCCAUAAAUCAAGUCCUAGGGGGAAUGUGGAAUGGUAUGCGCGUUCGGGCUGCGUCCCAUCAGUUCCGGAGGGGAAGUGCCCAUAGUCAUUGGUCAAGGUUUGAAACUUGAAUCCUAGAGAACCACUGGGUGGGGGUGUUGGGAGGCAGGGACAAGGCUGGGGGCCAGCAAGCCCGUCCUCUCCAAACAGGGGAAUGGUUGCAGGCCUGCACUUCCUCAGUGCCUGAAGUGGAAGGAUUACAGCAGCUUCGGCCCCUCGACUCUGGCACGAUACACACACACACACGCAGGAGCUCACUAGUGUCUGAUUCACACACGCUCACUUACAGACACACACAUAUAAACACUGAUGCCCACAAGCCCAAGGAUCCACAGUCUCACGUGAAAUGAAAAUAAAGACGCCUGACAUUUAUCGAGCGCUUAGUAUGAGUCAGUUUCUGUGCUGAGCCGUUUAUACGCACUUGAUUUCACAACCCAAAGAGCAAUAUCUUAUCAUUCCCGUUUUGUGGAUGAUGAAACCGGAGCUAAAAGGAGCUGGCUCACCUCAGGUCCUUGGCUAAUAACUGGCACACUUGAUCCCAAUGCAGGCAGCGAGUCCCUCACUCCCAGGACUCCAGGCUGUGCACACCCAGACGGAGGUGAGCACCCUCACGUGCACACAUGUGGCUGUGUACACACAGAGGCACAUCGUGCACAAAUACAGCCCUCGCCACACUUAUUCCUGCUCAAGUUCACUGAGUAAAGCCCCACAGCCACCUGGAUUUUAAAGACGUAUAAACCACUGGGUGUCUCCGAUACCCAGAUCAUUAUCAUAUUAAUUACUUAACAGGAUUACAUGAUAGGCUAAGAAUGUCUCCUCUCUGACAGUUUCUAAUGAUCAGACCUAGCCAGAGUGCGGCUAAGAAGGAUAAACAUUCCUUUCUGUUAAAAGAAAAUUUUAGUUUUUCAUUGCAAAAGCCCAAUGGCAGAGGAAGUCGGGGGAGGCCCAGCAAUGUUUCCGAAAAUCUCACAAAGAAUCUCAGGGUAUACGAUUUCCUGUCAGCAAGAAAACGUGCUGUUGUAAAAAGAAAAAAAACGGGCCGUGAGCAGCUACAAACCCCAAAAGGUCAGGAGAGCAGAUGCCUCCAACGUCUGUGUGUCUCUCGGCCGGCCGGGACGAGGCCAGCCAGCGGGGCCGGGAGAGUCCCCGAGUUUGCUCAGCGUCGCCUCCAAGUUCCCUGCCUGCCGGCCAGCCGGGAAACAACUGGUGGCGAUGUGCUCGCCAGCCUGCUUCCAGCUCGGCCUCUCCCUCCCAGCAGCCCUCGGUGCCUGCUGCGGCCCCCUCCCCACCUGCUCCUGCUCCGGUCACUCUGCUGCAGUCCCGGACACCAUUUUCCAGCUGUCUGCACAUGUGAGCCCUUAGGAGUACCACCCGCGCUGAACAGACUUGAGGCUGCCCCCUGGAGGUGUGCGGUGCAGGCGCCUGCUCAGUUCUCCGUGGGAGGGACCCACUUCAGGAGUGAUGGUUAGGGCUGCCUGUUUGACACAGUGGGACGCUGUUCAUAAUUCUCUUUAGUUAGGUAACGAAGAAGUCCACAUUGCCUGUAGAUCCUUAGUCAAACCUCCGUGCCCAACAUGCACGUGUUGCCUUGAAGUGAACUGUUCACAGAAGGCCUUUGGCCAGGUGUGGAGACUUUCGAGUCUCAGUUUCCUCAGCUAGAAAAUGGAGACAAGAAUGCUUACAUUCCCGAGUUCCACUGAGGCAAUGUCUGUAAAAUAACAGUGGGACCGAAAAGGCCUUACUAGAAGCUGGCAAUGAUACCGUAACAUUUGGUGUUGCAAUACCAUAGGCAGGUAAUAGCCCCUGUGUUCAGAGUUCGUGAAUAAAACAACUUCCGUGAUGUGAAAUGCAGCUGGAGAGCUGGAAGGAAGCCGAGGGACCUGCCAGGUAACCAAGAACGGGUCCCCAGGUCACUGUGCCUCACUUCAGGGAGGCUGCCUGGAGGCUCACUUCCAGCUGACUGGCCUUAGACAUCAUCAUAAGAGCCUUGCUUAUUUAGUUUCUCAGGGUAGGACAGAAUAAGAGCUUCAAAACGUGACAAGAACUCCUUACAGAAAGAAAGCCAAAAAACCAGCUAACUGAACAACUAAACGACGAAGGUGGAAAGCCCAACACACUGCAGAGGUCAGAAACGAGAACAAGGUAGCACUCGUCACACACCUAGAGCAUCUGGGCUCCAGCCGUCAGCAGCAGGGGGCCCGCCGUGGGCUAUCAGGAGCCGACGGUUUGGGACUCCAUCUGGGUUUGAGUCCUUACUGCCUUCUAGCUGGAAAAGGAAACUGAGGACCAGAGAGGUGAAGUAACUGCUCGUGCUCACACAGCUCCUCAGUGACAGCUGGAAUCUGAACCAGGUCUGUCCAACCCUGACGCUCUGCUGUGGAGGAAGUGCUCCCAGCUCACUCUCCUUGGCACCCCUCCUGCCCACCCGGUGUCCCUGGGGGACCCCCUGGUAUUACUGCUCAGCUUGAUGGGGCUUUUCAUGCUGGAGGCCCUGAGACACAAGGACAGCAAGCAGGGAGCUGCUGAAGGAGUUUCCCAUGGUUCCUAUCAGAACAUUUGGAAAUGGAAACCUAGCAAUUACAGAGAAAAUUAUUAACUUUCAGGGAGCCUUGUUUGGGUCAUAGCCCUUUCCUUUGGGCGUAAGUUGUUGGUGUGAAACUGAACUGAAAACUUGCAUCUCCAGCUGCCCCAGCUGAGCCCUUAGACCUUUGUUGUGGCUUUUAUUCUCUUGGGCAAGAGGAGGGAGGAAUUCGGGGUAUGUGGCCCCAUGACUGAGAAGGAGGAGCAGGAAUGGUACUUACAUUUGUCAAACUUUUCCUAUGUGUUUUCCAUAUUUUGUCUCGUUUAAUCCUCAGAACAAUCUCAUGAGCAAGGAAAGAAUGGCAUUUGGAACGUGGCAGACGUGGCUUCUCAUUCCUAGUUCACCACUCGCCACUGUGCUAAGUGACUUUGCCUCCAAAUUUUCUCCUGUGCAGCAUGGGGUUACUGCUGCCUCCAUCCGAGGUGCUCUGAAGGGGUCGGUGCAGGGACCCCUGGGGGCUUGCACGUUCAUCAAAUGAUAAAGACAUGUGGAAAAAAUUGAAAAUAUCAUGUGAAAUACGCACACACACAGACAUAAGUGUGUCAUGACCACAGCUGGAUAUAACUGUGUCCACCUACAGAUGGGAGCGAUCUUGCCAAGGCCACAGGGACAUGCUGACUAUUUAUCUAUUUCUCUCAUUUAUAUACUCCUUCAAGUGUAUGGCUCGAGACAACAGACUUAGGAUACUUUGUACUUUCUGCCUUUCGACAGCCCAUUACAAUUAUAUUAAAAGAAAAAUAAAAGAAAUAAGCUCACAAAGUGAAGAGGCUCUGUGGGGAUCCUUCAGCAUGUGUGCGAUUUCAAGAA